CUGAUAUGAGCUUAUUUAAACUGUGCAUGCUACUUGCUACUAGUAGAAAGAGUAGAUAGUGGUGUGACACAUGGCUGGGUUCAGCUCUCAGUAAUUUAAGUUUUCAGCAUUCACACACACAGAAAAAAGAUUCAGUACAAAUUUGGCAAUGUUUGUAGCAUAUAUAGACAUACAGAAUGCAGUUCUAGGAGUGCUUAGGUAAUGUUGAGUGCACAUAGUAGGGUGGUGUUUCUCUCAGAUAAUAGGGCUAUUACAAGAAAACCGCGUAAUGUAUCGUGAGAACAGUAUGAUGUGCCAUACCCAAUGAACUAGUUAAAUCUGUGCAUGUUAGUAGAAAAGAGUAGAGAGUGAUUUGAUACAUGUGAAUGACACAGGGUUUGGUUCAGCUCUCGGUAAUUUAAGUUUCAGUACAAAUUUGGCGCUAUCUGUACCUAUUUCUCGACACAGGUAGACAAAUUUGGUGUUGUUCAGAGAAAGGUAGAUACGCUUUUAGUAUGAACAAAUUUGAUGUUGUUCAGAGAAAGGUAGAUACGUUUUUAGUAUGAAGUGUAAACCCAAAUAUUAGAAUGCUUGCCGCAUCGUGAAUAUGUGAGUUAAUUAGCUUAAAUUAGAUAAACAUUUAGUACUUUUCAAU
rnacentral:lncRNA from 1 species